rnacentral:rRNA from 1 species
GAUGAACGCUAGCGGCAGGCCUAAUACAUGCAAGACGAACGGUAAGUUUGAUAGCAAUAUUGAACCUAGAGUGUCGUAAGGGUGCGUAACACGUAUGCAAUCUACCCUCAACAGGAGGAUAGCUCCCCGAAAGGGGAAUUAACACUCCAAUAAGAUCACAGGAUGGCAUCAUUCAGUGAUUAAAACUCCGGUGGUUGAGGAUGAGCAUGCGCAUGAUUAGUUAGUUGGCGGGGUAAUGGCCCACCAAGACGAUGAUCAUUAGGGGAACUGAGAGGUUGAUCCCCCAACUGGCACUGACGAUACGGGCCAGACUCCUACGGGAGGCAGCAGUAGGGAAUAUUGGACAAUGGGUGCGAGCCUGAUCCAGCCAUGCCGCGUGCAGGAAACGGCCUUCUGGGUUGUAAACUGCUUUUGCCAGGGGAUAAAAGCCAUGCGUGGUCAAUUGAAGGUACCUGGUGAAUAAGCCAGGCUAACUACGUG